UUUAUGCUCUUUUAAACAUUUAUAAAUGUGCUGCUUCUUUGUUUUUACAUAGCCAGCCAGAAUGGAGUUCACAGCCGCAGUGUGUCUGGUGACCCACGGGGACCAUGAUGAAAAUUCAUCUUCCAGAAGGUCCCAGAGCAGCGGCCACACCCCCUGAAAAGACCAAGAUGUGAGGUGUCUGCUGUUGAUUCCAGCUUCCACCUCAGUGACAGUGCAAGCUCAGUGAACUGUUCAAGCCUGGCUGAUCACCUGAUAACUCCUGUCAUCUGGUUAUGACAGCAUGAGGAUGUCCUCACACACCUGUAACCUAUCAGCUCAUCUGGCAGAAUAGAGAGAGAAGAGACAACACCACAUCUCCUGUUCCUGGAAAGCCUUCAGCCAUCCUUCGAUGACUGAGAACCUCCAUCAGCUCUGUCUCCUGUCUGCCCACAAUUAUUAUAAUAAAUAUUGUGUUUGACAAGUUU